rnacentral:rRNA from 1 species
UACAGAGGUGGCAAGCGUUGCUCGGUAUCACUGGGCUUAAAGGGCGCGUAGGCGGUGCGGUACGGUUUCGGUGAAAUCCCUCGGCCCAACCGAGGAACAGCCGGAGCUACGGCCGGACUAGACGGCAUCAGGGGACAGUGGAACUCCCGGUGGAGCGGUGAAAUGCGUAGAUAUCGGGAGGAACGCCGGUGGCGAAAGCGACUGUCUGGGGUGCCUGUGACGCUGGAGGCGCGGAAAGCCAGGGGAUCAAACGGG